rnacentral:misc_RNA from 1 species
ACAAAUUCCAAAACUCGUCUUUUGAUCUACUCAACUUUUUCAAACGGAUUCAUGUAGCGAUACGUGGGUUCGUUAGCGAAAGGUAGGUGGGUCAAGUUACAUAAGACAAACACAAACAUUACAUUUAUUGACAACUAAUGGAGAACCAAACGAAUUAAUCGUUGAAA